rnacentral:rRNA from 2 species
UGGUGUUCGGGUUGUCAUGCCAAUGGCACUGCCCGGUAGCUAAAUGCGGAAGAGAUAAGUGCUGAAAGCAUCUAAGCACGAAACUUGCCCCGAGAUGAGUUCUCCCUGACCCUUUAAGGGUCCUGAAGGAACGUUGAAGACGACGACGUUGAUAGGCCGGGUGUGUAAGCGCAGCGAUGCGUUGAGCUAACCGGUACUAAUGAACCGUGAGGCUUAACCUU